UCUCCUGGCUGUUUGGUUGCCGGGAAAAUGUAGAAAAUUAUUUCUAGCAUGCAAGCUCGAGGCUGGCAGGAGGCAGUACCAGUGAUGUAUGAUUUAUGAAGGUUGCUAAUCAGAAUGAUCAGAUGUGAUGCAUGUCCAUACAGCUUGGUGAAAGAAUUGUCAAGGAAUGGUACCAAUGCUAGUUCGUGGGAGUCUUACUUGGUGAACAAGAUGUGUCCAAUUUACAAAUAAAAUGUGCACAUGGUGGCUCAAGCUUCAAGCAAGAUACAAGGUGGCAGCUGCUUCUUUGAUCCUAUUCUUAAAUAUAAAGCAUACAUAGUAGAGGAGCUUCCAGGUGGGAUUCUGGCUGGCUGCUUAUUCAAUCCCUCAUACUCCAUUAUUGGGUAUGUACAUAAACAUUCCCUGGUCCUUUGUUUAGGUUGCUUUCUUACAUUCUUCUCUUAAAUUUCAAAUAUAAAGAUCCAAUGAAAAUCGACUGGAAAUCAGAAGUUAAAAUUUGGAAAUGAUAAAAUAAAAUUACAUAGGGGCAUUCCGAGAAUCGAACUCGGGACCUCUUGCACCCAAAGCGAGAAUCAUACCACUAGACCAAAUGCCCUGUGUGAUUGUAUUAGAUUACUUUAAUAUUUUUUUUAUCGCAGUUCAGAUAAUAUUUUGAUGCUGGAUUCGUGGUACCAUUUACUAAUAUGUAGCUUUUGUUCCUAACGAAAAAUAUGAAUAGAAAGUGAAUGAGCACAUGCCACAUGAGUCAUUCUAAGAAUUUAACUCAGAACCCCCUGUACCAAAUGGAGAAUCUACCACUAGAUCUAAUGCCUGAUCUAUAAUGUGUUAUAUACACAUUAAUGACUGUGUACUUAGCAAAGUUGCUUUUUAAUUGAGGAAUUAAGGUAGGAUAGAGACAAGUACAAGAUAAUUCAUAAAUCAUCAGAAAUAUGCAUGUACCAUGAUAGACGAGCACCCAGGUGGGAUUCUAGCUGGGCUGCUUUUUCAAGCAUUCAUCCUCCAUCAUUUGGUAUCUAUAAACAUAAACACCGAUCUUUUUUCUCUUGAACUAUAAAACAUAGAGAUCUUAUAAAUAAUUUAAUUAAAUUUGGAAGUGAUAAAAAUUAGAUGCGGCAUUCCGAGAAUUGAACUCGGGACCUCUCGCACCCUAAGUGAGAAUCAUACCACUAGACCAAAUGCCCUGUUUGAACAUAUUGAGUUCAAUUAAUAUUUUGUUUAUUGUAAGUCAGAUCACAGCUUCUUGAUGUUGGAUCCGUGGUACAAUUGACUAAUGUAUAGUUGGUGGAGCUGCUUUUUCAAUGGUGGUUGGUAAGCUUAUAGGUAGAAUUAUAAUUUGUUUAUAUUGUUUAUUUCAUCAUCUUGUAACCAGUAAUUAUUGAGGAGUAUAAAUACAUGAACAAAUUUUCAUAUUUUACUCAUCCCUAAAAAAUGUUGAGAAUACUGUGAACAGAAUACAAGAAAGAAGUUCCUGGUUGAAAUGGAAAUUAUGAAUAGAAAGUAAAUAGGACAUGCCAGAUGAGGCAUCCUAAGAAUUGAACUCAGAACCUCCCUGUCUCUUCGGGGACAUCUGAACUCAGAACCUCCCCCACCAAAUUGAGCAUCUGCCACUAGAUCAAAUCCCCUGUUUUUACAUUUAUCAAAUGCAAGAUUUUAAUUUUUAAUUAAACAUAUUAAGAUGUAGAUCUCAUCCUUGUGUUGUAUACACAUCAAUGACUUGGUGUACCUAGCAAAGUAGCCUGGCUUGGUGUAAUCAUCUUGUGCUUGUCUCUGAAAUUCAAUAUCAAAAUCUCUCAUUUGAAUUACAAGUUCACGAAAUAUGAGUUUCCAGGUGGUAAUUCAUCCUCCACCAUUUUGUAUCCAUACAUAUACACUCCUAGUCUUUUAUUUAGGUUGUUUACUUACAUUCUUCUCUAGAACAAUAAAAUAUAAUAAUCUUAUGAAUAAUUAAAUAGUUAAAUAGUUAAAUUUGAAGAUGGUAAAAGAAAAAUAGGGGCAUUCCGAGAAUCGAACUCGGGACCUCUCGCACCCAAAGCGAGAAUCAUACCACUAGACCAAAUGCCCUAUUCCAAUAUUUUAAGACCACAUAAUAUAUUUAUAUUGUAACUAUGAUAAUAUCUUCUUGAUGUUGGAUCUGUGAUACAAUCGACUUAUGUGUAGUUUUUGGUUGAAAAUUAUGAAUAGAAAGUCAACGAGCACAUGCCUCAUUCUAAAAAUUGAAUUUAGAACCCCCAUACCAAAUUGAGAAUUUACCUCUUGGUCAAAUGUCCUACUAUCGCCUUUAUCAAAUUUAAGGUUUCAAUUUUUAAUUAAGACAAAUUAAGAUGUAUAUCUGGUCUUGUGUACUAUACACAUCAAUGACUUAGUAAAACUGCUCUUGAAUAGUUGAUGAAAUGAGGUAGCAUGGUUUAUGAACUAUCUUGUGCCUGUCUCUAUCAUCGAACUAUAAAGUAUGCAUGACAAAAUAUAGAUGAACUUACGGGUGAGAUUCUGGCUGGCUGCUUAGUGAAGCAUUCGUCCUCCAUCAUUUGAUGUCUAUUACUCCUAGUCUUUUAUCUAGGUUGUUUCCUUACAUUCUUCUCUUGACUUAUAAAAUGAUCUUAUGUACUAAAAUUCGAAAGUUUAAAUUUGAAUCUGGUAAAAGAAAAAAAUAAGGGCGGCAUUCCAAGAAUCGAACUCAAAACCUCUUGCACCCAAAGCAAAAAUCAUACCACUCGACCAAAUGCCUUGUUUGAAAAUAUUGUUAAGAAUUUCAUAUCGAAAAGAAAAGAAAUCUUACAAUAGUUUAUAAUAGACAUAGACUAUUUCUCUCCUUGCCAAUUGGUUUUGAGAUGGAACUCUCAUGAACGUUGAUACAAAAUGCUCAAGCGAGCAACCGGUCCUAAAAUUGGAUCCGACCAAGAUCAAUGAGCCAAAAGAGCCACAAUCUUGAAGGGGCAUUUUAAGGAUCCCACGUUAAAAAAAAAAUAAAAUUUUACAAUGGUUUAUAAUAGACCUGGAUUACUACUCUCAUUGUCAAUGAGUUUUGAGAUGGAUCCCAUGAAUAUUGAUAUAUAUCAAGUUUAUUGAACAUGCUUUAUUGUAAUUCCAAUAAUAUCUUCUUGAUGUUGGAUCCAUGGUGCAAUUGAUGGCUAAUGUGCAGUUGGUUGAUGUGUAGCUGGCUGCUUUUUCAACGGUAGUUGAAUUAUGAAGUAUACAUGACAGAUGGGCAUCCAGGUGGGACUCAGGCUGGCUGCUUAUUCAGGAAUUCACAACGAAUAUUUGAUCUAUCUUGUGUUAUAUACACAUUAAUGACCGUGUACUUAGCAAAGAUGCUUUUUAACGGUUGAGGAAAUAAGAAAUAUGCACGUAUCAUGAUGGAUGGGCAUCCAGGUGGGAUUCUAGCUGGGCUACUCAUUGAAGCAUUCAUCCUCCAUCAUUUGUUGACAACUAAUGUGCAGUUGGCGGAUGUGUGGCUGGUGGAGCUGCUUUUUCAACGGUAGUUGAAUUAUGAAGUCUACAUGACAGACGAGCAUCCAGAUUACUCAAGAAUUCGUCGCCCGAAUACUUGGUACCUUUGCAUACAUACUCCUUGAUCAUUUUUCUCUUCAACUGUAAAAUAUGAAGAUAGUAUGAAUAAUUUAAUAGAAUUCAGUAUCUUAAAUUUGGAAAUGUUUUAGAAAAAAAAAUGGGGCAUUCCAAGAAUCGAACUCGGGACCUCUCGCACCCGAAGCGAGAAUCAUACCACUAGACCA